CUUUGAUAGGCUAAAGGUGUAAGUAUAGUAAUGUACUGAGCUGAUUAGUACUAAUAGUCUAAAAUCUUGAGUUAUUGAUAUACAAAUAUUAGAUUACUAUAAGAUAAACAAAAAAAGAACAAAAAAAUUAAUUGAGUUUGAUCCUGGCUCAGAAUGAACGCUAGCAAUAGAUAUAACACAUGCAAGUCAAAUGUUUAAAAGAACAUGGCGUACGAGUGAGUAGCACCUGGGAAUCUACUUGAAGGAUAGGGAUAAAAAGUAAUACCUAAUAAAAACCUUUCAAUCUAAAUGGUUAAGGAAAAAGAUUAAAUUGCCUUCAAAUGAGCCUGGGUUGAGAUUAGGUAGUUGGUAGUGUAAUAGACAACCAAGCCAAAGAUCUCUAGCUGGUCUAGAUGGAUGAUCAGCCACGAUGGGACUGAGACACGG
rnacentral:rRNA from 1 species